UCAACUAUUCAUAAUUGUAUUGGAUCUAUUGUUUGUUUUCAAAGAGUGAGCGUGCAUUCCAAUCCAAAUAACAACACAAUUGAACAGGUGUCAAUGAAAAUAAGAGAAGCUUUGUAGAUCAUACUAAUGCAUGGUAGAACAAUGACAUAAAAUGGCAUUUUGUGUCAUAAUUUCUAAUGACUUGGUCUUUAAUUAAAUCUGAUGACUGCAUGUAUAUAUGCAGGAUCAGACUGUGUAUUUCUAAUUUUUUAAUUUAUCCCAGCUUUUGAACUCUUGUACUAUAGCAACAGUUACACUCACUUGCCACCUUCAGCUACUGUUUGUGAUUUUACAGUAUGAAGCGUUUGUCAUAGGAAAGCACCAUGCACUAUCAUGAUCCAUGCAGACUCAUGAAUAAAUAUGAGAUAUCAACACGCCAUCAAUGUACUACAGCUGUCACACCUCCAUUAUCCUCACCUCUAUCCACCCUCUGCUCACGUUUCUUGGAAUUCUAACCACCCGCCCCCGCAAACAAUGGCUGUAGCCUUCUAGCAUGAGCUCAUUGCAUAACAGUUGUUAAGAGAGCACAAGGAUGGUGAGUGAGAGUGAUGAGAGCAGCACAUUCAAACAGACGUAUCUCCGCACCGGUCACUUCCAUUUUGAAGGGAGACAGACGGGUUUGUCUCUUCAGUCCUUCCAGUGGUCACAAAAGGAGGGGACUUGAGAAUCCAAAGACAUGUGAAACAAAAAGAGGUUGUUUUAAAAGGGAGUUCUGUGCACAGAGUUUCCUAUAACAGUCUAGAGAAGACAUAAGAAGUAGUCAGUGACAAUGGAUUACUUCUUCAAAGGCAGAUACAUUUGCAUUAUAUCUCUUGCAAUAAUCUGGGACUUACACUCUUACUGGAGGAAAUCCAGAUCUUCCGCUUUAGCUAGUGAACAAGUAAAUGUUGUUUUUAACACUGAUGACAAACCAUGAAAGCUGGAAAGUGGUAUGUAGAACAAUUUAUAGUUCUAUAAAAGAAGCAAUAAAAAAAGACACAAAGUGACAAGUGACAACCUGAUGCAUUUACAGCUGCUUAAGAGAGUCAUUAUCCGAGUAUUCAAUCUGACAGCUGUAUUGCUACAAAUUCAAAGCUUGUUCAAGUUUGCAUCUGGUUUGUUCCUUUUAAUUAGUUUGUAAACCUGCUUUAAACAUUGUGCAUCACUUCAUGCCUGUUCUGUGAUGCACUGAAAUUUGACUGAUAAACAAGACAUUUAAAGACAUGUUUAAUGCAUGCAAUUAAAAUUGAUAAGAACAGAUUUUAUUAUUUGUUGAUUUAUAAUACAUUUUUACCACACAUUAAACUUUUGUAAUGGCUUCAGUGCUAUAUAUAAGCACACCAAGUGUACUAGUGUAGUCAUGCCUAUGAAAACAAUGUAAGCUUUUGGGAGUGCACACUAAAGUGAUGUAACACUGCAUUUCACUUCAUCACACCUGAUGAAUAAUAGUCACAAACCCAUUCACCCGUUUGGCAGACAGAGUUGAGCAGCAAUGAUGUAAAGACAUUGUCAGCACCUGAUGCAGUGAGUCAUGCAGCUUUCAGACUUUACAUGUUGACAAAUGCCAUGUGCUGAGGUUUGAUUAGUCUCUCAUUUCACGUCACUAUGAACUGGAGUCACGUAUAAUCCAAUGAUCUUUGAUAUCUGAGAGUCCAUUCAUUAGUGCCUUCAUAUCAAGCACAGUCAUCAUUGACAAAGUUACUGAGUACUUUCUGUGCCUACUCAAGUCAUAUUGGAGUUAAUUUCUUGAAUUUAGCUUACUUUUGUGUAUUAUAUGGAUUAGCAGUAACUAGAUUAGUGUUUGAUUGUUUUCUUUAUGAUUUGUUCUGAGCUAAUUUUGUGGUCCUAUUUGGCUUGCCUUCUGAAUGCAUUUGUAUUUUUUUUCUCCACCAAAGUUAGGCUGACCUAUGUGCUCUUUGUAUCUAUUAUUAAAGUGUCAUGUGAUUCA